ACUCCUACGGGAGGCAGCAGUGGGGAAUAUUGCACAAUGGGGGAAACCCUGAUGCAGCCAUGCCGCGUGUGUGAAGAAGGCCUUCGGGUUGUAAAGCACUUUCAGUAGGGAGGAAGGUAGUGUAGUUAACACCUGCAUAUUGAUCGUNUCCUACAGAAGAAGCACCGGCUAACUCCGUGCCAGCAGCCGCGGUAAUACGGAGGGUGCGAGCGUUAAUCGGAAUUACUGGGCGUAAAGCGCAUGCAGG
rnacentral:rRNA from 1 species